AUUGAACGCUGGCGGCAUGCCUUACACAUGCAAGUCGAGCGGCAGCGCGGGGCAACCUGGCGGCGAGCGGCGAACGGGUGAGUAAUACAUCGGAACGUACCCAGUUGUGGGGGGAUAGCCCGGCGAAAGCCGGAUUAAUACCGCAUACGACCUGAGGGUGAAAGGGGGGGAUCGCAAGACCUCUCGCAGUUGGAGCGGCCGAUGGCGGAUUAGCUAGUUGGUGAGGUAAAGGCUCACCAAGGCGACGAUCCGUAGCUGGUCUGAGAGGAUGAUCCGCCACACUGGGACUGAGACACGGCCCAGACUCCUACGGGAGGCAGCAGUGGGGAAUUUUGGACAAUGGGCGAAAGCCUGAUCCAGCCAUGCCGCGUGAGUGAAGAAGGCCUCGGUUGUU
rnacentral:rRNA from 1 species